GACGAACGCUGGCGGCGUGCUUAACACAUGCAAGUCGAGCGGGAUCCAACCGGUGGCAACACCGGGGAAGAUCUAGCGGCGAACGGGUGAGUAACACGUGAGCAACCUGCCCCGAAGACUGGGAUAACACCGGGAAACCGGUGCUAAUACCGGAUGUCGUCAUUAGGCCGCAUGAACCUGAUGAUGAAAAGGAUUCAUCGCUUCGGGAGGGGCUCGCGGGCUAUCAGCUUGNGGUGGGGUAACGGCCUACCAAGGCGACGACGGCUAGCUGGUCUGAGAGGACGACAGCACACUGGGACUGAGACACGGCCCAGACUCCUAC
rnacentral:rRNA from 1 species